UUUUUCCUAUCUAUCUCUUCAUUUUCUUUUUCUAUUCUUACCAUUGCUGUUAAUUUAUCUUCUAAUUUUAAUUCUUCUUUUUCUAACAUUAGAUAUAAAUGUUCACCUAUUUUCUUAUAUCUUCGUCCUAGAUUAGAAAAUACUAUUUUUAUUUUUGAUCCUUCGUAAUUUUCAUAUAUUUUUUCAUCUAUUAUAAAUUCUUCUUUAUUCAUUUUAUUGUGAAUAGUUCAUGUUGAUAUAUAUAUUCUAAACUAUCUAUUUGUGAUUCUAAUUUUGAUAUUUCAUCUUUUUGUGUAUCUAUUGAAUUUUUACUAACUCCGGCAAAUAUAUUAUAAUGUAGUCUUUCUAUUCUUAUUUUUAAUUCUUUACGUUUUUCAGAGAUAAUUUGUCUUAAUUCUUUAUAUUGUUGUAUU
rnacentral:lncRNA from 1 species